GGGGGCGUGGUGUAGUUGGUUAACACAUCAGCCUGUCAAGCUGAAGAUCGCGGGUUCGAGUCCCGUCGCUCCCG
rnacentral:tRNA from 1 species